UUCAAUUAGAUUGAUCCUUUUCUUUGUUGUUGCUUCUUAUUUCUUUGUGUCCAGAAUGUUAAAGAGGAUGAAAAGACCUGCUCAAGUUGCCCACCAGAAUGUUCAUCAGUCACCAAAAUGGUUAAUCCUUCAAUGGAUGAUGCAUUGGAAGAGAAACAAAAGUACAAUUGGAUUCCUGUGUAACUGGUGAAGCCUUGGUAUAGACACUUUGAUCAGCUUUUAUUAUACAUUGUACAUCAACUUGGGUGACAGUGAUCUUAAUAAGGUUAUCAACUACUGAUUGUCUUUUACUGGUUCACUGAUUAACAAUAACAAUUUAAAUUAGACCAAGUAAAUUGCCUUUCCAAUUGUGUGUUUCAUGAUAUGUAAUAUGAAGAGUCAGUGUGACAGGCAGCUAAAGAGUUAACACCAAGAUGUAACAUGUGAGAUCCAAAAAAACCGGAAAACAGCUUUGAGAAGAAAACAAAAUAAUCUUUCCUUUUUUUGCUGAUUAGGGUGAAAAUUAACUGCUUUUAUCAGGAUUCCUACAAUAUUGUUAAAGUUGACUAGACACUGAUUAUAAGGCUGAAUAUUAUUAUGACAUGGAUGGUGGUGAUGAAAGGGAUAAUGAAACAAAAGUAAACUGAAAGUUGACUGUUUACUUAUGUCUUUCAAGUUACGAAGUAAACACGUUUCCAGAUGAUUUAUCAAGGUACAAUCUAUUUAAUUAGAUUUAUUCGUACAUUCAGGUUCGACCUUUUCACUCUUACAAUAGGCACAAAUACAAACAAAACAAUCUAAAAUAUCAUAACGGAACAAUCAUCAGACGUAACAGAUGAUUGGUAAGCUCAUAUUACGUAGUAAGUCCACAGUUUAUGUAUGCAAACAUAUACUGUAAUGUUACUAACAACAAUCACAAAACCAGAGUAAACAAAAUAGAAACAAUAAACUAAUCAGUUAAUUAUGUAUCAUUCCAUUGAUUAUUUACACUAUUAGUAGAUCAAUUAAGAGCAAGUAAUUACAAAAUAAAAGUAUUUAAGCUGAAAUGGUCAAGAAAAAAAUCAUUUAACCCGUAACAGCCUCAGAUCUUAAUUAUAACACUUUCCCUGAAAAAAACCGUUGGAAAGAUUUUGUCUUAACAGUUUAGCUAUUGAAUGGCUAUUUAUCGUAUGUUAUUGUUUGUGGCAGUCGAUUUAAUUUAACUAAAUCAUUUUCCUGUGACAACCUUUGAUUUAAAUUGUCAAGUCUAUGAUUUUCAAAUAUUUAUGUUCAUCUGUGAUACUGACUUACCUAUUUUUAUCAUUUGAAAUUGAGUUUAUCUGUCUCGAGAAACCUACAAAAUCUUUGGGUUAAAGGAUUAGGUUUCCUCUCAGUGAUUGUUUUAUUAUUAAUUUAGGUUCAACCAAUCAACUAAAUCUCUUGGACUUCAGUAAAUUCAGUUUCAAACAAUGUCAUAUAAUCUUUGUUUUGUUUCACACUGCAGUAAACAAUGUUACCUUAUAUUUGUAACCUUCUGGUUUACUGGUUGCUUUAAAAUAAUCAAUCCUGUAUUGUGAUAGUGUUUUGUUUCUUUCACUGAAAAGGGAGUCAAAGGUUAAUUAUUACGAGAAUGCCCUGAGCUUUUUUUUUAAAAAUAAAACGAGUUAACGUCAUGAGAAUUGGAAAUUCAAUGAAACUUGCCUCACAACACCUUCCAAGCAGACAGAGAAUACAAAAUGAAUGAACAAAAAGAUAUAUUACAUUAUAACUUAAUUCAACUGGGUUGAAUUAUGAUAUCAGAUUAUUUUUGACAUACAACUAACAUACAUACCUACACAUUCAUGUAUAUACAUGAAAAGGUGAAACUUGAAAAUCAUGUUUCACCAUGUUGUCUACAUUUCUACUUGGAUCACGAUACAGAAAGGAUAUUCAGCUAACCAUUAUCAACGAGAUGAUAAUAAUAACGUUUGUUAACCAAAUGAAUUAUAUGCUGCCAAUGGAUAAAUUACAACUCUGAAUGAAUUCAUUUUCAUAAUGAAAUAAUUGGAUAUUUAAGGAUCUCAUCUAACCAUUUUUACGUGCUUUAUUGGAUCCAGCAAUGAUUUCAAGGGAUUCAGUGUGUAAUUAUUACCUCAGCUUUACAAUUGGCUAAAUUUACCCGGAACAAUGGCUUGGAACCUCAUUACCAACUCAAGGAUUAGUUCAUUGCUAACGCAAACAGAUCCUAUCACUGAAUCACCCAAAUUUUCAUGGAUCUAACUCAUUGAUCUACCAGUAAAAGUGAAAUGCAAAACUGGUUACAUGUAAAAAUGAGUCCAACAUCUGAUAUGGCUGCACCAAAAAUCAAUAAAUACUUAGGACCAAACCAAAGCCAAGUAACUACCCAAAGAAUCAUGAAAGUUGUUGAAAGACUGUUGAAAUGAUGACACUAAGCUUUUGCCUCUGCUUCUGAUGAUGAUAAUGGUAAUGAUAAUGAUGAUAUUAUGAUCUCUAUUUCUUGUUCAUCCUUUAAGCCAUCAUCAUGGGACUUGACAUGUUUAAUGAAAACGAAUGAAACCAAAUGUGAAAUAAGAAGCUAAGCCUUUCUUUUCACUAUAAAAAUAUCUAUUUUUUCAUCUCUACAUUGAUAUAUAACAGUUGAAAAAAAGGUCAUUUAACCUUGUUACAUUUCAUCACUUGAUUAUCAUCAAAAUUAACCUCUCUUCAUUUAA